ensembl:lncRNA
UUAGAGUCCUAUUUCAAAAAUUCCUUCAGAAGUUUUCGCAGCGAAUACAUUUGCACCUGUCAGUUCACAGGAACCUAUCACUGUCUUCCAGGAACAGAAAACAUCGGAAGUAAGUGUUGAUGGGGUUUUAUGACUCAUUGAAGCCCAGAGCUAUGUGAAACUGGCUUUAAUUUCUAAAAAUCAAUAAUUCUUUUAAGCGCUGUGUAUCUCUAAGUAUUCUUACCUUACUGGAGAAGUAAAUAUACUCAGUGUAAAAACUGAAAAUAGAUUUUCAUUCAAGCUUCGACUGAAGUAGUGUUUCUGCACACAGUUCUGCUAACAAAGCUCUGUCAUUCGGUUUAAGAGAAGCAGUUGUGUAACACAUUAAAGGCUGCAAUGGAAAUGAAAGACGAACCCAGACAGGAUUUGGCAGAGAGGAAUUAGGAUUUCAAAAUAAAACUGAAAACUUUUGGGAGUUGAAUCACAUAAUGCCAUGAAAUUUGUUUGUUUCAAAUUUCGCCCUCCUCUCUUUUAUUGUAAUAUAUAGAACCCAUUGUAUUUCACAGUCACUCAAUGGCUUAUGAGUCACCACACACUUUCCUUCACACUGGAAGUCUUCUGUUUCAGUCAGAGAAAAGGAGUAGCAAUUUUUCUCUGUGUUUGUGUUGUCCUGCUUAGACCAUUUUGGAAAGCUACAAAAUGUUCUGGAUAAUAUAUCUUGAAUGAAAAGUUUUCCUGGCCUUUUUUCAGUUACUAUCAGCUUUUCAUGUAAAUUAUGUUAAUGAAAAUAAAAGCAAACUACAUAAUCAGUGUUCUAGCCUCACUGUCACAAUCAGGAAAAAAAUAUAUAGAUAUUUUAAUUUCACAUUUCAGAAGCCUGCAUUUGCACUGUUCAUUCCUCAGCUGAAGAAAUGUAACACAUACACAUCGUUUCACUUCUGCAUUCUCAUAAUUAACCUUCUUGUGGGCUGUUCUCGGGGGGUGGCUGCGUCCUUAGCUGUAUACGCAGAACCCUCUGUUACAGUUCCAAUAAGCCACCCUUUCACUGACACCAAGACAAGAUUCUCAGUUUGCCGUGCUGUCAGUAUUUACUUCUAGUCUACCAAUUGCUUUAACACUGUUAAUUGAUUUACUACUGAUUCUUCAUUACCAGAGAAGUGAUAAAAGAUCACAUGGGUACACUGUACGAGUGAGUUGUGCUUCUCUUGUAAGAUCACCUGCAGGCACCACAGAGGAUCUCAGCAGUUCUGUAGCAUUCAGUGUUCAUGCAUCUGGUAAUUAGAGCAAGAGUGAUGCUAAUAACAAAACCUGAUGAUGUGACAAGAAAGCAUCACUUUCCCAAGGUGUCUGUGAAUUUGUUAGGACAUGGUUAAAAUGUUCAAACCAGUUGACGUGAGCUAAUUAAAGAAACAAUGAAAAGCGAAUGAAGCCAAGUAAUGUAUGUGUUGUUUUUUUUUUUAAAUUAUGUUUGACUUCAAGUAAUCUCCAGAAGUCAGAAGAACAACGCUGCUAUUGCAAAAGAGAAUUUCAGUUUACUGUGGGAAAGAUAAUAAAGGGUUUUGAACAGAGUCCUGUGAAAAUGUGAUUGCAAAGGAGUCACGGAAAUUCAGAACCUUCUGAAAGAGUCAGGAGAUAUAGUUGGUUUGGUGAAGAGUUAAUUUCAUUACUCCGUUAAUCUUAUUUCUGAGCUUGUUUAACAGAAGCAGAUUUGCAAAUGACUUUGGAUUCAGCAGGAAGAUAAUUUUAUGGGGCACUUGGACUUGGAAGUAGGCGUUUUGCAGAUUAAAGCAUAUGGUGUUCGAAUCCUCCCUGUCUGUCAUCAGGAACAGAUGAUGCCAGCCCACUCAAGCCUUUAGGCUCUAUGGCACUUCGUAGAGUUUCUGCCUUUAGCUGAAUCUUACCAUUAUCGCUGAGAACCCUUAGAACUGCAACUAAAACUGCGUUGUUGUAUCAUGCCAUUCGAAGGAGAACUGAGUCCAUCUGUAUCCACUAAUUUUUAAAGUCAACAGGCCAGCAGUACCCAGUUAACCGAGAUGUCAACACUGUGGAGUUGUAGGUCAUAUUUCAUCAUCUAGAAGGAUACACUGCUGCCAGGCUUGCAGUUUUCCAUACGUGCACUCACACCUGCGUCCUCAAAUCUACUCACAGAAGAGGAAGGAGUUAAUGACUGCGACUGGCUGCAUGAACUCUCCAGCCUCUCCCAGGACUUCCCAAAGCAGAUGAUUUUUUUACGUCUCUGUGCCUGCAUUAAAGGGAAGGGCAAUAAGAAAAUGAGAUAAGCAUGUUUUCAAAACUCAAGCCAUAUCUACUUUGUGACAGAAUAAACCAAGCACCAUAACCAGAACAAACCAGUGACCAUGCUUCAGCUGCAUCUCAGACUGCCAGCCACUGCCAGGAAGAAGUGUCUGAAGGUGUUACAGUGGGUCAUCCUUGCUCGUCUUACACUGGCAGCAUAUAUGGAUUCGGAGUUGUGUCAUCGUUUUUUCAGAUCUGUCAUUAUGAAGGGCAAAAUAAUGAAACUGUGACCUGUGAAUGGAGUGAAGCUCACUUUUGUGCUGCUCUGCCUUCAUCUGAAUGAAAUUCAACUGUUGGUUACGCUUUAAAAAGAAAAGGUUUUCCACUGUCUGAUCUCUUCAUUGGUCUGAAUCUGAACAGUGGUUCCUAACAGACUGAAGCUUCAAGGAGUGAACUUGGAAUCAGAACCACGCCUUGGAAAAUCUGGUCACUUGAGACGGAAUAGAUAAUAAUCUUAAAAGUAUGUUUUUAUCCUUUUCAUUAAUUAUAUUUCUACAUUCUGGACCAAAUGACAUUCUGUAACUUCAGUGAACUCAAUGUUCGUUUUGACAUAACGUCUUCUCUUUUUGAGGUUCUCAUAUGCUUGUCUCUAAUAUUUAUUUUUAGAAAUGUAUAUCAAUUCUCUGCUUCUCUCUUAAGUCUGCUCUCCCAGAGCACCCCCAGCAUUGCUCAUGGCUCAGCUCUGGCAGCAGUAGGUCUCUUUUGGAGCAGCUGGAGCUGGGUUUGAUCUGACACAGAGCAGUGCUGGGCUCUGCUCACAGAGGACGCCCCUGCAGCUCCCUACUACUUAAACUUUGGCAGAUAAACCCAAGACAGCCAGAAAAAUUACUUUGCAGAUUUUGAUAC